CCGUAACCGACGCUUCAUCGAGCGUGAAAUCGAGUAGGGCGGGACACGUGAUAUCCUGUCUGAAUAUGGGGGGACCAUCCUCCAAGGCUAAAUACUCCUGACUGACCGAUAGUGAACCAGUACCGUGAGGGAAAGGCGAAAAGAACCCCUGUGAGGGGAGUGAAAUAGAACCUGAAACCGUGUACGUACAAGCAGUAGGAGCACCUUCGUGGUGUGACUGCGUACCUUUUGUAUAAUGGGUCAGCGACUUAUAUUCAGUGGCAAGGUUAACCGUAUAGGGGAGCCGUAGCGAAAGCGAGUCUUAACUGGGCGCUCAGUCUCUGGAUAUAGACCCGAAACCGGGUGAUCUAGCCAUGGGCAGGUUGAAGGUUGAGUAACAUCAACUGGAGGACCGAACCGACUAAUGUUGAAAAAUUAGCGGAUGACUUGUGGCUAGGGGUGAAAGGCCAAUCAAACUCGGAGAUAGCUGGUUCUCCCCGAAAGCUAUUUAGGUAGCGCCUCGGACGAAUACUACUGGGGGUAGAGCACUGUUAAGGCUAGGGGGUCAUCCCGACUUACCAACCCUUUGCAAACUCCGAAUACCAGUAAGUACUAUCCGGGAGACACACGGCGGGUGCUAACGUCCGUCGUGGAGAGGGAAACAACCCAGACCGCCAGCUAAGGUCCCAAAGUAUUGCUAAGUGGGAAACGAUGUGGGAAGGCUCAGACAGCUAGGAUGUUGGCUUAGAAGCAGCCAUCAUUUAAAGAAAGCGUAAUAGCUCACUAGUCGAGUCGGCCUGCGCGGAAGAUGUAACGGGGCUAAGCAAUACACCGAAGCUGCGGCAAUAUCUUUUAGAUAUUGGGUAGGGGAGCGUUCUGUAAGCCGUUGAAGGUGAAUCGUAAGGUUUGCUGGAGGUAUCAGAAGUGCGAAUGCUGACAUGAGUAACGACAAAGGGGGUGAAAAACCUCCUCGCCGGAAGACCAAGGGUUCCUGUCCAACGUUAAUCGGGGCAGGGUGAGUCGACCCCUAAGGUGAGGCCGAAAGGCGUAAUCGAUGGGAAACGGGUUAAUAUUCCCGUACUUCUGACUAUUGCGAUGGGGGGACGGAGAAGGCUAGGUGGGCCAGGCGACGGUUGUCCUGGUUCAAGUGCGUAGGCUUGAGAGUUAGGUAAAUCCGGCUCUCUCUAAGGCUGAGACACGACGUCGAGCUGCUACGGCAGUGAAGUCAUUGAUGCCAUGCUUCCAGGAAAAGCCUCUAAGCUUCAGAUAGUCAGGAAUCGUACCCCAAACCGACACAGGUGGUCGGGUAGAGAAUACCAAGGCGCUUGAGAGAACUCGGGUGAAGGAACUAGGCAAAAUGGUACCGUAACUUCGGGAGAAGGUACGCUCUUGAUGGUGAAGUCCCUCGCGGAUGGAGCUGACGAGAGUCGCAGAUACCAGGUGGCUGCAACUGUUUAUUAAAAACACAGCACUGUGCAAAAUCGCAAGAUGACGUAUACGGUGUGACGCCUGCCCGGUGCCGGAAGGUUAAUUGAUGGGGUUAGCGCAAGCGAAGCUCUUGAUCGAAGCCCCGGUAAACGGCGGCCGUAACUAUAACGGUCCUAAGGUAGCGAAAUUCCUUGUCGGGUAAGUUCCGACCUGCACGAAUGGCGUAAUGAUGGCCACGCUGUCUCCACCCGAGACUCAGUGAAAUUGAAAUCGCUGUGAAGAUGCAGUGUACCCGCGGCUAGACGGAAAGACCCCGUGAACCUUUACUACAGCUUGGCACUGAACAUUGAACCUACAUGUGUAGGAUAGGUGGGAGGCUAUGAAGACGUGACGCCAGUUGCGUUGGAGCCGUCCUUGAAAUACCACCCUUGUAUGUUUGAUGUUCUAACUUAGACCCAUUAUCUGGGUUGAGGACAGUGCCUGGUGGGUAGUUUGACUGGGGCGGUCUCCUCCCAAAGAGUAACGGAGGAGCACGAAGGUGGGCUAAUCACGGUUGGACAUCGUGAGGUUAGUGCAAUGGCAUAAGCCCGCUUAACUGCGAGAAUGACGGUUCGAGCAGGUGCGAAAGCAGGUCAUAGUGAUCCGGUGGUUCUGUAUGGAAGGGCCAUCGCUCAACGGAUAAAAGGUACUCCGGGGAUAACAGGCUGAUACCGCCCAAGAGUUCAUAUCGACGGCGGUGUUUGGCACCUCGAUGUCGGCUCAUCACAUCCUGGGGCUGAAGUCGGUCCCAAGGGUAUGGCUGUUCGCCAUUUAAAGUGGUACGCGAGCUGGGUUUAGAACGUCGUGAGACAGUUCGGUCCCUAUCUGCCGUGGGCGUUGGAAGAUUGAAGGGGGCUGCUCCUAGUACGAGAGGACCGGAGUGGACGAACCUCUGGUGUUCGGGUUGUGUCGCCAGACGCAUUGCCCGGUAGCUAAGUUCGGAAUUGAUAAGCGCUGAAAGCAUCUAAGCGCGAAGCGAGCCCUGAGAUGAGUCUUCCCUGACAGUUUAACUGUCCUAAAGGGUUGUUCGAGACUAGAACGUUGAUAGGCAGGGUGUGUAAGCGUUGUGAGGCGUUGAGCUAACCUGUACUAAUUGCCCGUGAGGCUUAACCA
rnacentral:rRNA from 1 species